rnacentral:rRNA from 1 species
CCUACGGUACUGCAGCAGUGGGGAAUAUUGGACAAUGGGCGAAAGCCUGAUCCAGCCAUGCCGCGUGUGUGAAGAAGGCCUUCGGGUUGUAAAGCACUUUCAGUGGGGAAGAAAGCCUUGGGGCUAAUACCCUCGAGGAAGGACAUCACCCACAGAAGAAGCACCGGCUAACUCCGUGCCAGCAGCCGCGGUAAUACGGAGGGUGCGAGCGUUAAUCGGAAUUACUGGGCGUAAAGCGCGCGUAGGCGGUCUGAUAAGCCGGUUGUGAAAGCCCCGGGCUCAACCUGGGAACGGCAUCCGGAACUGUCAGGCUAGAGUGCAGGAGAGGAAGGUAGAAUUCCCGGUGUAGCGGUGAAAUGCGUAGAGAUCGGGAGGAAUACCAGUGGCGAAGGCGGCCUUCUGGACUGACACUGACGCUGAGGUGCGAAAGCGUGGGUAGCAAACAGGAUUAGAUACCCUUGUAGUC